CAUAUGCACCACUCCGUCUAUGUAUCUAUGUUUUAGUGUUGAACUAUAGUCGGCCAUUUUAUUUGACAAUCGACCCUCUACCUGUCCGUACGUCAUAUUCUUGUGUUUUCUAACUCUCGUCUUUCAUCUCUUCUCUUCAUUUCGCAUUACCCGUUUGAUUUGUCGCUUCAGCUGUUUUAGAGGAAUAACUGUCAGUCUUUCACUGAAUCAUCCCUGCCGAGUCAUUCGAUUGUUAUAAUUUGACUCAAUAUUGUAUAGCUAACGCAAUGGCGCAAGUCAAAGAGGAGAAGAUCAGUGACACGUCGUUAAACGGGCCAAACGCACACCAUGGUCCAAAUGCCAACCAUAAGCCGAAAGAAGAAUUCCACGGCGGUGGCCGUGGUGGAAGAGGCAAUCGCUUUCAACCGUACGGUGGACCGAAUAGAGACCGCAAAGGUGGUCCCCCAAGAGACAACAAUAUGCCUAGAGGAGAUUUCCGCAAUGAUAAUCAUGGUGAUAACCAUCCAGGAGAUAAUGAUAUAAUGAAUAGAGGCAAUCGUAAUCAUUCAGAAAGUGGAAGAGGUGGAAGGCGUGGUGGAGGUGUUGGAGGUGUUUUCAGAGGCGGUCCACCUAUUCGAGGAGAUGAUCGUUUAACUAGAGCUGAUGCUCUAUGGAAUGAACGUUUAAUGCAAAUUAUGGGCCCAACUCAUGAGAUUCCACAAACUGAUACCUCUGAUAGAAAGUUCCUUAGUCAGUGUCGUCUUUAUAUUGGAAACUUAGUUGAUUGUACUGAAGAAGAAUUAAUAGAAAUGUUUAAACCUUAUGGAGAAGUUUCUGAAAAUUUUUUGAACAAGGAAAAAAUGUUUGCUUUUAUCAGAUUGGAUUAUCGUACUAAUGCUGAAAAAGCCAAAAGAGAAUUAGAUGGUAAAAUGCGUAAAGGACGUAUGUUAAAAAUAAGGUUUGCUCCCAUUGCUGCUGCUAUCAAAGUAAAAAACCUUACUCCAUUUGUUUCCAAUGAACUUCUAGAAUAUGCUUUUUCAAUAUUUGGUGAUAUUGAACGUUGCCAAGUGAUGGUAGAUGAGAGAGGUAAUUCAACUGGUGAAGGUGUUAUUGAAUUCUCACGUAAAAAUGCUGCAAGCAAUGCUUUGAAACGUUGUUCAGAAGGUUGUUUUUUUUUGACCAGUUCUCUUCGUCCUUGUGUAGUUGAAACUUAUGAGUUUGUAGAUAGUUCAGAUGGCCUCCCAGAUAAGUUAUUGCCCAAAAAAACUAUGGAUUUCCAGAAACAAAGAGAUGUUGGUCCAAGAUUUGCUAAUCCAAAUUCUUUUGAACAUGAAUUUGGUACUCGUUGGAAACAAUUAGCUGAAUUGUAUAAACAAAAAGAAGAAGCUCUUAAACGUGAGAUGAAAUUAGAAGAAGAAAAAUUGGAGGCUCAAAUGGAAUAUGCUCGUUAUGAACAUGAGACUGAAAUGCUCAGAGAACAAUUGCGACAACGAGAAAUGGAUAGAGAACGACAAAAAAUGGAAUGGGAAAUGAAAGAACGUCAAGCAGAGGAUCAGAGACUUAGGGAAGAAGAUAUUUUCAGAAGACAGAGCGAAGAUUUAAGCAUGAGAAUGCAUCAUCAAGAUGAAGAGAUGAGGAGGCGUCAACAAGACAAUUCAUCAUUCAUGCAGGACCAUAGAGGACCGGGUAAACCUCCAUUUGAUGGACCCCCUAUUCCUGUAGAAGUUCAAGGAGGAAUGGGUGGGGAAAGCCAAGUGGCAAAUCAGGCUCAUCUAUGUGUAGCUUUCGGUUAACUGUGUCGUUUCCCCGAAGAAAUCAAUCGGAGUAAUGAACUAUUGUUGAUGUGGAAUCAUGGAAUAAGUCUGUGCCACCCAUGUACGUGUAUUAUGUAUCACAGAGUGGUCAUACGCGCAUAGUUCUACAUUGCGUUACUGUAACGGAGCUACCUAAAUUGAUGGGGUGGCGCGUACGUCAUACAUUGUUUGGGCUCAAACCAACAAUGGACCAUUUGCAGAGGAUGCUGAUUAGCGAGAAAAAGACGUAAAAAAUGUUUUAUGACAACUUAUAUCAAUUGAAGACUUUCAAUAAAGUAAACAUUUCUUAACAUAA